UUACAAUUACGCCACCGAAUGUAACCUGACCACCACCGCUUUAGCUUUUUCCCUCUCUUCUCUCUCUCCGACAGUGUGGAAAUUCUAGAGAGAGAAAAAUUCAGACCAUUUCUGAAGGAUUGAGCUCUUUCCUCUUUGUUUUUUCAACGAUGGCGGGUUUAAGGGAAUCUAGGGUUUUGUGACGGAGCGAUUACUCCAAUAAUAAUAAUAAUUCCGAUGGAAAUGCCCGGUAGGAGAUCGAACUACACGCUUCUCAGCCAAGUCCCCGACGAUCACUUCGCUGCGGCGACGGCGACGUCGUUUUACGAGUCGGAGGGGAAGAACAACAAUAAUAAGGCGAAGGGGGAUAGCAGAGGGUUUGAUUGGGAAACGGGAGGCGGCGAGUACCGGGCGGCGCCGGCGAAUCGGAUCGGAAACGUGUACUCGUCGGUCGGAUUGCAGCGGCAGUCGAGCGGGAGCAGCUUCGGAGAGAGCUCGCUGUCCGGCGAGUACUACGCGCCGACUCUGUCGACCACGGCGGCGAAUGAGAUUGACGGAUUCGGGUACGUCAACGACGACGGGUUUAAAACCGGCGGAGGAGGCGGUGAGUUCAGAGGGAAAGGAGGAGGGAUGGAUGGGGGUGUGGGCCCCCCCGGAGGUUCGUCGUCGGGGAAGAGCUGGGCGCAGCAGACUGAGGAGAGUUAUCAGCUGCAGUUGGCUUUGGCGCUUCGGCUCUCGUCGGAAGCCACUUGCGCCGAUGAUCCUAAUUUCUUGGAUCCAGUGCCGGAUGAAUCUUCGUCGAGGUUGUCCAGCUCUGCCGAUGCAGUUUCGCAUCGAUUUUGGGUGAAUGGCUGUCUGUCAUACUUUGACAAAGUGCCUGAUGGGUUUUACCUUAUUCAUGGGAUAGAUUCGUAUGUAUGGUCUAUGUGCACUGAUGUGCAAGAGAGUGGUCGUAUACCAUCAAUUGAAUCACUAAAAUCUGUUGAUCCUGGUACUGGAUCUUCCAUAGAAGUGGUCUUAAUCGAUCGACGUAGUGAUCCCAGCUUAAAGGAGCUUCAAAAUAGGGUCCUCAGCAUUUCUUAUGCUUGCAUAACCACGACAGAGAUUGUUGAUCAGCUGGCAAAGCUUGUAUGCAGCCGUAUGGGGGGUUCAGCAUCUGUAGGAGAGGCUGAAUUUUUCUCCAUAUGGAGGGAGAGCAGUGAUGAUCUAAAAGAUUGCUUAGGAUCUGUAGUUGUUCCAAUCGGCAGCCUUUCUAUUGGCCUCUGUAGACAUCGUGCUUUAUUAUUCAAGGUUCUAGCUGACACAAUUGACCUACCGUGCCGAAUUGCCAAAGGCUGUAAAUAUUGUACAAGAGAUGAUGCUUCCUCUUGUCUUGUUCGUUUUGGUAUUGACAGGGAAUUGUUAGUUGAUUUGAUUGGGAAUCCAGGUUGCUUAUGUGAGCCUGAUUCCUUGCUCAAUGGUCCAUCAUCCAUCUCAAUUUCUUCACCGCUGCGAUUUCCAAGACUCAGAACAGUUGAACCUACCAUUGAUUUCAGGUCACUGGCCAAACAGUACUUCUCGGACUGUCAGUUGCUUAAUCUUGUAUUCGAUGAAGCUCCGGCAGGAAGUGCUGGUGAUGAGGACAAUAAAGGAUUCUCUAUGUAUCCUAAGCAGAAGUUUACAGAUGGAAACAACCUCUUUCUGGUUUCAGGUCUUGGUGAUGACACUUCUAUGCAUGUUGACGAUCGGAAUCCCCAGUUCCUUAAAUCAUUUAAUCCUUCUCAGAACAUUGUACACCAACAAACAGUAUUAAAAGAUCAAAUCCCCCUAAAGCGUAUACCACCUAUAGGACAUAGAGAUAUUUCAAGGUUGGAUACAAGUAAGGACUCGAGGUUUGGUGAGGGACUUCAAGUGGUUCCUAGUAAACCAAAUAAAGAGCUGACUCUCGAUGUGGAUGAUUUGGACAUUCCAUGGAGUGACCUUGUACUGAAGGAGAGAAUCGGUGCAGGUUCUUUUGGAACUGUUCAUCGUGCUGAUUGGCAUGGCUCUGAUGUUGCUGUGAAGAUUCUUAUGGAGCAAGAAUUUCAUGCUGAACGCUUUAAUGAGUUCUUGAGGGAGGUUGCAAUUAUGAAACGCCUGCGGCAUCCAAAUAUUGUGCUGUUUAUGGGUGCAGUUACAAAGCCCCCAAACUUGUCCAUAGUCACAGAAUAUCUAUCAAGAGGGAGCUUGUAUAGGCUGUUGCAUAAACCUGGCCCAAUACUGGAUGAGAGGCGCCGGUUGUAUAUGGCUCAUGAUGUGGCAAAGGGGAUGAAUUAUCUUCAUAGGCGGAAUCCUCCCAUUGUUCAUCGAGAUUUAAAAUCACCAAACCUUUUGGUUGACAAAAAGUAUACUGUGAAGGUUUGUGAUUUUGGUCUUUCCCGAUUAAAGGCCAACACCUUUCUUUCAUCAAAAUCAGCUGCAGGGACUCCUGAAUGGAUGGCACCAGAAGUCCUGCGUGAUGAACCAUCAAAUGAGAAGUCAGAUGUUUACAGUUUUGGUGUAAUAUUGUGGGAACUUGCAACAUUGCAACAGCCCUGGGGUAAUUUGAAUCCAGCGCAGGUUGUGGCAGCUGUUGGUUUUAAGAACAAAAGGCUUGAGAUUCCACGUGAUUUGAAUCCUCAAGUGGCUUCUAUAAUUGAGGCUUGCUGGGCCAAUGAGCCCUGGAAACGACCUUCAUUUGCUAGUAUCAUGGAAUCUUUGAGGCCAUUGAUUAAAGCUCCCACACCUCAACCUAGUCAUGCAGACAUGCCGAUACUCACCUGAAUGGGUCAACACUUACGAAGAGUCUUAUUCAUGCACAUAAUACAGCAUUCUUUUAGAUUUGAUGUCUGGCAGGAUUACAUGCUGUUCAUAGUCUCGGGUAUGCCUAAACUUCCACUUCAGUUUUCUAACAUGAGUCUUACCCCAGCAUUGCACUGUUGAAGGCUAGGUAUCCUAAGUUUGGAAGAAAAAUCAAGAGUCAUUGUACAUUACUGUUCUUAUCGCCAAUUGAGAAUUCUGAUUCUUUAUGCAAAUCAAGGACUAAAGUGCCCAUGGUGUCUGCAUUGCCAUCCCUACUGAUAUUCCUACAAAAAGAUCAUUCUAUAACAUCAUCUUGGGGAAGUUGUAUAAUUUAUAUUCAUAAGUUUGCAUGUAGAAAAAAAGUGUCACUAGCUAUAGAAUCAGACAGCAGCUUUCCCAGCAUGGUACCCAACUUGUGCUAGUCUUUUUCACUUUGUGUGAAAUGUGAAAGGUAGCCAAAUUUUUUAGCGGUUUCUAUUUUGCCCCCCAAGUGCAAUUGAAGAAAACUAUAGGAAAGCUGAUACAUACCUUUAGCAGUUGAGUAUUCGCUGAAGAGUAGAUGUAAUGUAGGAGCAAGUUAUACAUGAUAAGUGGGGCGAAGUGCCUGGCUAAUUAGCAGCAAAUUCUUUGUAAUUUUUAGUAAAAUCUAUUGAUCACCUUCGGUGAAUUUAGAGCAUUGGUUUCUAGAAUUUUCGUUUUGCUUGCUAGGGAGACCAAACAAGUCUACUAUUAUGUAUUAUCUUAUAAUACGAUAUAACCAGCAGGCCAAGCAAGGGUAUCAACUGUAGAUGGUUGACAACUUUGGCAUUGAAAGUUUUAUUAUAUCAUUAUUUGUUCCUCCUAAGUUGUACUUGAAUAAGAUUUUUUUAAUAAGUCUCUAAGUUUUGCCCCGUUCUCUCUUUUGGUGAGGGAGGGUGGGGGAGGGGGAGAUCUCUCUUGGGAGCUAGACGUAGUCGCUGUCGCUGCCCAUGCCUCCAGAGUUGGAGUUGCCGCCUAUGUGGAGACUAUGACAGCGCGUUCCAGCUGAACCGCACAGUCAUGACGCCGGGUCGUGAAGCCGUGAAAGAUGGGGAGGGAGAUCUCAGAAAUGGAGAUCUAUUCGGGGAGCCCAAUGAAUACGGAGAGCGAGCAAAUUUGUAACUAAAUAGUUUAUGUUAUUACAAAAUUGUCAUUUUACUUUGUUUUUCAAUGAUCACUCUUCUUUUAUUUUA